rfam:Ceriporiopsis subvermispora B unplaced genomic scaffold CERSTscaffold_2, whole genome shotgun sequence.
GGCGAGAUGGCCGAGCGGUCUAAGGCGCCAGACUAAGGCUUAGCAGUGUUUCCUUCUGCUUUGACAUCUGGUCCGAAAGGGCGUGGGUUCGAAUCCCACUCUCGUCA